rnacentral:tRNA from 1 species
GUCCUGUCAGCUCAGUUGGUCAGAGCACGCGCCUGUCGAGCGCGGGGUCGCCGGUUCGAGUCCGGUACAGGGCGC